GAUGAAGAACGCAGCGAAAUGCGAUAAGUAGUGUGAAUUGCAGAAUUCAGUGAAUCAUCGAAUCUUUGAACGCACAUUGCGCCUUCUAGUAUUCUGGGAGGCAUGCCUGUUUGAGCGUCAUUAAACCUCUCUCAAGUAUGAUUACUUGGAUGUGAAGGAAGAGUACCUUAAACUUAAGGAGUGUUCUCCUUUGAAAUUGAUUAGCAGAUGGUAAUGUUAUUAAAUCCCUGAUGUUGUAAGAAAUAACAGUGGUUUUGUAGACUAUUAUCUAGCUUUAAAUUAUAAUUUUUAUUAUGGUUGACCUCAAAUCAGGUAAGGAUACCCGCUGAACUUAAGCAUAUCAAUAGCGGAGGA
rnacentral:misc_RNA from 1 species